UACUCUAAAUAUAGAUUCUUCAUAACUGUUGUAAAAAUCAGAACGUGUAUUGUAAUCGGUUUUACCUUUUACAGAGUCGUCUGAAGGUCCAUCAGUACCAGGUAUCCUGAACGGCCAAUACUUUACAAUCGUCAAGGAGAAAUCAAAUUCGAAGUGCGUCGUAGGCGUAUGUAACCUAUGUACAACGAAGAGGACAGAAAUUAAAGGCCAAAUGACCUCGACGUCAAAUUUUCGCUCGCAUUUGAAGCGCAAACAUUCAUCUGCGUUCGAGGAAUAUUGCAGCGAAAUGUCGGCAAAGCAAAGACGGAAUUUUUCUGCAAGAAAUCGAAAUGCAAGGGCUGCUGGGAACCAAUUUGAAACGGAUGUGGCAGCUUUUGUAAUCAGUGCAAUGAUUCCGUUGCAGGUAGUCGAAAACAAAAGUUUUCGGCAAAUAUUCCAGAAUUUCGGCUGCAAUCAGAAAAUGACCAGCCGCCGCACGUUGGAAAGAGUCAUUGGCACAAUGUACAAUGAUGCGGUUUGUACAAUAAAGGAGGAUUUGAGCCAAGUGGAAUAUGUAUGUACCACCGCUGAUAUUUGGUCAUCAAGACGCCGAAGUUUCUUUGGAGUAACGGCGCAUUAGAUAGACGAACAAUGCUCCCGAAAAUCAGCAACCCUUGCGUGCCGACGCUUUCCCGGUACGCACUCUUUUGAAAGAAUUCAAGAGAUGAUGACUGGCAUUCAUAUUGAAUUUGGAUUGGAUUAUGCCAAAAUUGUUGCGACAGUCACGGAUAAUGCAAGCAAUUUUGCGAAAGCAUUCAGGAUGUUUGGAGUACAACAUGACGUACUCGAAGUCGCUGGAGAAAAUACAUGCGCGGACGUCGCGGAUUAUUCGUCGUCGAGUUCGGCCAGCGAGGAGGAUGAAGAUGACGACGUUUUAGAAGGCCACGAAGAAACAGAGAGAGACCAAUGUGGAACAGUUUUGGAGCAGAUACUGCCCUGUCACAUCCGAUGUGCAGCCCACACUCUUAGUUUAUGUAUUACCUCCAACGUGUGCCGUGCACUACGUGAAAACGAGGAAUUGGCGAGCAUACAUAAUGAUGUAAUGGAGAAAUGCAACAUGCUGUGGAAAGCAGCGAUGAGGCCGAAAUCGGCCGAAAUCAUCCAGCGCGUAAUCGGGCAUACAUUAAGUAGGGCUGGAAAAACAAGAUGGAAUUCUUUAUACUAUUCAUUGAAGCAGAUAUUGGUCGUAAAAGAUAAAUUAGGCGAACUUGACAAACCCUUGGAGAUGAAAUCCACCAUACGUGAAAAUGAAAUUAAAUACAUCGAGGAGCACCUCGAGUGUACGAAGCCAAUAGCGGAGGCUAUUGAUAUUUUACAAGAAUAAGAAUAUUUUCUACGGUGUAUUUCUACCUUGUAUUUGAUCUCUUCGGAGAAAAUUAGACAAUUUAAAAAACACUACGUGGAGAUUCUGCGGACCACUUAGUUCCUGCCUUUACGACAGUGUGGAAAGAAGAUUCAAAAAGUUCUUUUUGUUGACUACUGCAGAAGCCGAGAUGGCAGCGUUGGCUGCCUUAACUCAUCCGCGAUUUAAAAAUCGCUGGUGUCGAUGUAUUGGCAGUGACGACCAGAAUAGGAUAGUAAUGAGAUUAGAGAAAGAAGUAAGUGAUCUACUGAAACGCGGCACAUCCAGCAAUACACCACCUUCGUCGUCAGAUGGUGACGAUUAUUUUGAGUUCGGCGACGACGACAACAACGUAGAAGCAAGUGAUUCUUCAGCGCAAGCAAAAUUGCAAGUGCUGCACUUUUUUUGUGAAAAAAAAAGAUUUUAAUAUAUUGCAAGCGUAUCCAGAAAUAAGAAAAUUGUUCUUCAAGUACAAUACGCCACUGCCAUCUUCAGCACCCGUAGACCGGUUAUUUUCGUACGCGACAAUAACAAAUGCGCCUAAAUCAAAUAGGCUAUCAGACAAGACGUUUGAAAAGAAAGUGAUUUUAAAAUCAUAUUUAAAAGAAAGAGACAGUUAAAUCGCACCGUACUGCUAAGUGCCACCGAUCUAUCGGUUUUUCUCAAUUGCAAACAGUUGCAAUUGUGCCGCGGAUCUCACGAUCACGCGAGUUGUUAAAAGAUCGAAAAAGUAAAUUUUAGAUACACAAAUCAUGGAAAAAUCUAAGUUUCCGCGAAGAAGAUUCAAUGGAACAAAAUCCACUGAUUUGCCCACUUUAGAAAGAAAAGGUCGGGCAAAAUCGUCCAUCGUCAAGUCAAUGGAAAUACUUUGACCGGUUUUCACGACGACGAUGCGCGACGCUUUGAUUGGCCGCCUUCGAGAGAAGAAAAGUGCUGAUCAGGCAAAAUCUCUGUCGGCGACGGAGACUGUGGGUACGACACUUGUCGCUCGCGAUAAUGAAUAUCUUCCGAGUAGUGAUCUUUACGAGACCACCGUGUUGGUGAUUCCUUUCGAGGGAUCUGUCUACAUCCUAUACUUUAUAAUUCUUAUAUAUUAUUUAUA